AAUUGGAGGGCAAGUCUGGUGCCAGCAGCCGCGGUAAUUCCAGCUCCAAUAGCGUAUAUUAAAGUUGUUGCAGUUAAAAAGCUCGUAGUUGAAUUUCGGGAUCAAUAUUUCGGUCAUGCCGUUGGUAUGCACUGUUAUCAUUGAUUUCUCACCUUCUAAAGAACCGUAAUGCCAUUAAUUUGGUGUUACGGGGAAUUAGGACUGUUACCUUGAAAAAAUUAGAGUGUUUAAAGCAGGCUCACGCUUGAAUACAUUAGCAUGGAAUAAUGAAAUAGGACAUCCGAUUCUAUUUUGUUGGUUUCUAGGAUCGAUGUAAUGAUUAAUAGGGAUAGUUGGGGGCAUUAGUAUUCAAUUGUCAGAGGUGAAAUUCUUGGAUUUAUUGAAGACUAACUACUGCGAAAGCAUUUGCCAAGGAUGUUCUCAUUAAUCAAGAACGAAAGUUAGGGGAUCGAAGACGAUCAGAUACCGUCGUAGUCUUAACCAUAAACUAUGCCGACUAGGGAUCGGAUGAUGUUAAUUUUUUAAUGACUCAUUCGGCGCCUUACGGGAAACCAAAGUGU
rnacentral:rRNA from 1 species